rnacentral:rRNA from 1 species
UACAGAGGGUGCGAGCGUUGCUCGGAAUUAUUGGGCGUAAAGGGCGCGUAGGCGGUGCGGUAAGUCACCUGUGAAAUCUCCUGGCUCAACUGGGAGCUUGCAGGCGAAACUGCCGUGCUGGAGUGUGGGAGAGGUGCGUGGAAUUCCUGGUGUAGCGGUGAAAUGCGUAGAUAUCAGGAGGAACACCAAUUGCGAAGGCAGCUCGCUGGAACGUAACUGACGCUGAGACGCGAAAGCGUGGGGAGCAAACAGG